rnacentral:rRNA from 1 species
CAUCCGUAGGGGGAACCUGCGGAAGGAUCAUUAGUGAAUAUAGGACGUCCAACUUAACUUGGAGUCCGAACUCUCACUUUCUAACCCUGUGCACUUGUUUGGGAUAGUAACUCUCGCAAGAGAGCGAACUCCUAUUCACUUAUAAACACAAAGUCUAUGAAUGUAUUAAAUUUUAUAACAAAAUAAAACUUUCAACAACGGAUCUCUUGGCUCUCGCAUCGAUGAAGAACGCAGCGAAAUGCGAUAAGUAAUGUGAAUUGCAGAAUUCAGUGAAUCAUCGAAUCUUUGAACGCACCUUGCGCUCCAUGGUAUUCCGUGGAGCAUGCCUGUUUGAGUGUCAUGAAUACUUCAACCCUCCUCUUUCUUAAUGAUUGAAGAGGUGUUUGGUUUCUGAGCGCUGCUGGCCUUUACGGUCUAGCUCGUUCGUAAUGCAUUAGCAUCCGCAAUCGAACUUCGGAUUGACUUGGCGUAAUAGACUAUUCGCUGAGGAAUUCUAGUCUUCGGAUUAGAGCCGGGUUGGGUUAAAGGAAGCUUCUAAUCAGAAUGUCUACAUUUUAAGAUUAGAUCUCAAAUCAGGUAGGACUACCCGCUGAACUUAAGCAUAUCAAUAAGCGGAGGAAAG